AGCAGCGGGGCUCAGUGGGAAAAGCCCUGGCUUGGGAGUCAGAGGUCACGGGUUCAAAUCCCGGCUCUGCCA
rnacentral:tRNA from 1 species